AUUGAACGCUGGCGGCAGGCUUAACACAUGCAAGUCGAGCGGAGCGAGGGUGCUUGCACCUUAGCUUAGCGGCGGACGGGUGAGUAAUGCUUAGGAAUCUGCCUAUUAGUGGGGGACAACAUUCCGAAAGGAAUGCUAAUACCGCAUACGCCCUACGGGGGAAGCAGGGGAUCUUCGGACCUUGCGCUAAUAGAUGAGCCUAAGUCGGAUUUGCUAGUUGGUGGGGUAAAGGCCUAACAAGGCGACGAUCUGUAGCGGGUCUGAGAGGAUGAUCCGCCACACUGGGACUGAGACACGGCCCAGACUCCUACGGGAGGCAGCAGUGGGAAUAUUGGACAAUGGGCGGAAGCCUGAUCCAGCCAUGCCGCGUGUGUGAAGAAGGCCUUUUGGUUGUAAAGCACUUUAAGCGAGGAGGAGGCUACUUAGAUUAAUACUCUAGGAUAGUGGACGUUACUCGCAGAAUAAGCACCGGCUAACUCUGUGCCAGCCGCCGCGGUAAAAC
rnacentral:rRNA from 1 species